rnacentral:lncRNA from 1 species
GGGCACAAUGUCUCCAAAAUAGGAGCAGAGCACGGGGAGACAGAAAACCAAUCUUUCGCAUCCCUAGGAUCCGCUGAUAGUGAACCCAAAUAUGGCGAGCUCGAAGGCAGUCCACAAACAGGUGUCGAGUGGUCUUAGCAACCCGCCCGUAAACACAUCGAGAAACCAUAUAGAAACCCCUCGAGCACAAUGCAUCGUCAGUAGCUAGAAAUCCAUCAAAUAGUCACUAGAGAAAAAAAGAAACUCGCAAUGGGAUGUGCCUCUGUCAGAUAAUAUAGGAAAGCUCAUCCCUCCGUCUAGAGCACCGUACAAGCUCCCAAGCAGUCUGCAAGUGAAAAUUACCGUUGGGUGCAAAAUCCCAACAAAUCAAGUCUGGCUCCCUGCUAGAAAUAGGCACCAAUAAUAUCUGCUCAACAAUAGAUAAAGGCAAGACGUCC